rnacentral:lncRNA from 1 species
GAAAGGGGAAUAUCCUGCGCCUCCUUCAGGUGCCUGGGCUGCCCUACAGGAGAGGCUGUCUGUGGUCUCGGGGUACCCAGCAGGUCCACCCGACACACCUGCUCCCUGGGGCAGGAUGGGCAGGAGCACCAGUGUGUUCCUGCGGAGGCAGGUGCCAGUUAGUGUGUGUGUGUUGGGUGGGGGGCUGUGUGUCUGUCUGUGUGUGUGUGUCUCUGUGUGUGUCUCUGUGUGUGUGUCUCUGUGUGUGUCUGUGUCUCUGUGUGUGUCUCUGUGUGUGUGUGUGUGUCUCUGUGUGUGUAUGUGUGUCUCUGAGUGUGUGUGUCUGUCUCUGUGUGUGUGUGUCUGUGUGUCUCUGUAUGUGUGUCUCUGUGUGUGUGUGUCUGUGUGUGGGGGUGUUCUGUGUGUGUGUCUGUGUGUGUGUCUGUGUGUAUCUCUGUGUGUGUGUGUAUGUCUUUGUGUGUCUCUAUGUGUGUAUGUGUGUGUAUCUGUGUGUGUCUGUGUCUGUGUGUGCAUCUGUGUGUCUGUGUGUGUGUCUCUGUGUGUAUGUGUCUGUGUGUGUGUCUCUAUGUGUCUGUGUCUGUGUGUGUGUCUGUGUGUGCGC